AGUGAAUCAAGGAAAUAGAUUUCAAAUAGUUCCAUUAUUGUCGCUAGUAGCACAUUCCAUCCGCAUAAUAAAGUACACAACCUGUUGGCGAAAUACUGUACAUAGUAUAUAAAAGAAUUGUAGGAUAUAUAGAGAUUUGCAGCUACCUCGUUCGAAUAAUUAAUCCAUAACGUCACCAUGAUGAAGCUCAUGAUCGUCGCUGUUUUGUUGUGCUUACAAAUGGUCGCUGUCGUAAGCUAUGGCUAUGGCUAUGGAAUUGGUGUGGGUUACAGACGAUUCGAAGAUUUCGAAUACCCGAGUGACGGAAUUAUUAAAUACGGUCAUAUUUACGACUAACGGACAUUGAUGGCGGAAUGCAAGCAACGACAAGAUUUACGCACUAAAAGAGAUAUAAGAUCGUGUGGUAGGAUAAUUGUAUAAAGUAUGCAUUUCAGAAUAAAAAUCAUUUAACAGAAA